rnacentral:rRNA from 1 species
CCUACGGGAGACAGCAGUGAGGAAUAUUGGUCAAUGGACGAGAGUCUGAACCAGCCAAGUAGCGUGAAGGAUGACUGCCCUAUGGGUUGUAAACCUCUUUUAUAUGGGAAUAAAAUGUUCCACGUGUGGGAUUUUGUAUGUACCAUAUGAAUAAGGAUCGGCUAACUCCGUGCCAGCAGCCGCGGUAAUCCGGAGGAUCCGAGCGUUAUCCGGAUUUAUUGGGUUUAAAGGGAGCGUAGGUGGAUUGUUAAGUCAGUUGUGAAAGUUUGCGGCUCAACCGUAAAAAUGCCGUUGAAACUGGCAGUCUUGAGUACCGGAGAGGUCAGCGGAAUUCCUUGUGUAGCGGUGAAAUGCGUAGAUAUAAGGAAGAACACCAGUGGCGAAGGCGGAUGACUGGACGGCAACUGACGGUGAGGCGCGAAAGCGUGGGGAGCAAACAGGAUUAGAUACCCGAGUAGUC